AAUAAGUACAGUUUUGUACUAUUCAUAUCCAACGUUUGACCGUUCGUCUUAUUUGAAAAUUUUUUAUGAUUAAUAUUUUUAUUGUUAUUAGAAGAUAAAACAUGAAUAGUACUUUAUGUAUGACUAAUUUUUUUAUUUUUUUCAUAAAUUUUUCAAAUAAGACGGACGGUCAAACGUUGGACACAGAUAUCUAUGAUUGCACUUAUU
rfam:Oryza glaberrima chromosome 7 Oglab07_0061_20, whole genome shotgun sequence.